rnacentral:rRNA from 1 species
UACGGAGGGUGCAAGCGUUACUCGGAAUUACUGGGCGUAAAGCGCGCGUAGGCGGCUUGGUAAGUCGAUUGUGAAAGCCCCGGGCUCAACCUGGGAAUUGCAGUCGAGACUGUCAGGCUAGAGUGUGGGAGAGGGCAGUGGAAUUCCCGGUGUAGCGGUGAAAUGCGUAGAUAUCGGGAGGAACAUCAGUGGCGAAGGCGACUGCCUGGCCCAACACUGACGCUGAGGUGCGAAAGCGUGGGUAGCAAACAGG